CGCUGGCGGCGUGCCUAAUACAUGCAAGUCGAACGGUCUUUCUAUGGAAGCUUGCUUCCACUGAGAAGAUAGUGGCGAACGGGUGAGUAACACGUGGGUAACCUGCCCAUAAGAGGGGGAUAACAUCCGGAAACGGGUGCUAAUACCGCAUAGUUUCUUGAUUGCAUGAUUGAGAAAGGAAAGACGGCCUUUGUGCUGUCGCUUAUGGAUGGACCCGCGGCGUAUUAGUUAGUUGGUGAGGUAACGGCUCACCAAGACGAUGAUACGUAGCCGACCUGAGAGGGUGAUCGGCCACAUUGGGACUGAGACACGGCCCAAACUCCUACGGGAGGCAGCAGUAGGGAAUCUUCCGCAAUGGACGAAAGUCUGACGGAGCAACGCCGCGUGAGUGAAGGAAGGUUUUCGGAUCGUAAAACUCUGUUGUCAGAGAAGAACAAGUUGGAGAGUAACUGCUCCAGCCUUGACGGUAUCUGACCAGAAAGCCACGGCUAACUACGUGCCAGCCGCGGC
rnacentral:rRNA from 1 species